rnacentral:rRNA from 1 species
CCUUUUAAAGCGAAAGAGGGAUUAAUACUCCGUAACAUGUACAUGUGGCAUCACAAGUACAUUAUAGCUCCAGCGGUUAAAGAUGGGCGUGCGCCAGAUUAGAUAGNUGGCGGGGUAACGGCCCGCCAAGUCUGCGAUCAGUAACUGGUGUGAGAGCACGACCAGUCACACGGGCACUGAGACACGGGNCCGACUCCUACGGGAGGCAGCAGUAAGGAAUAUUGGUCAAUGGACGCAAGUCUGAACCAGCCAUGCCGCGNGGAGGAUUAAGGCCCUCUGGGUUGUAAACUCCUUUUAUUCUGGGAAGAAAUACCAGUUUUCUAANUGGUUUGACGGUACCAGAGGAAUAAGCACCGGCUAACUCCGUGCCAGCAGCCGCGGNAAUACGGAGGGUGCAAGCNUUAUCCGGAUUCANUGGGNUUAAAGGGCGCGUA